rnacentral:rRNA from 1 species
AUUGAACGCUGGCGGCAGGCCUAACACAUGCAAGUCGAACGGUAACAGGAAGAAGCUUGCUUCUUUGCUGACGAGUGGCGGACGGGUGAGUAAUGUCUGGGAAACUGCCUGAUGGAGGGGGAUAACUACUGGAAACGGUAGCUAAUACCGCAUAACGUCGCAAGACCAAAAAGGGGGACCUUCGGGCCUCUUGCCAUCGGAUGUGCCCAGAUGGGAUUAGCUAGAAGGUGGGGUAACGGCUCACCUAGGCGACGAUCCCUAGCUGGUCUGAGAGGAUGACCAGCCACACUGGAACUGAGACACGGUCCAGACUCCUACGGGAGGCAGCAGUGGGGAAUAUUGCACAAUGGGCGCAAGCCUGAUGCAGCCAUGCCGCGUGUAUGAAGAAGGCCUUCGGGUUGUAAAGUACUUUCAGCGGGGAGGAAGGGAGUAAAGUUAAUACCUUUGCUCAUUGACGUUACCCGCAGAAGAAGCACCAGCUAACUCCGUG